rnacentral:rRNA from 1 species
UACGAAGGUCCCAAGCGUUAUCCGGAUUUAUUGGGUUUAAAGGGUGCGUAGGCGGUCUAUUAAGUCAGUGGUGAAAGCCCCAGCUCAACUUGGGAACUGCCAUUGAUACUGAUGGACUUGAGUACAUUUGAGGUGGGCGGAAUGUGUCAUGUAGCGGUGAAAUGCUUAGAUAUGACACAGAACACCGAUUGCGAAGGCAGCUCACUAAACUGUAACUGACGCUGAGGCACGGAAAGCGUGGGGAGCAAACAGG